rnacentral:tRNA from 1 species
GGUAAAAUGGCUGAAUAUAGGCGAUAAAUUGUAAAUUUAUUUAGGAAUCACAUCUUUUACUA